AGCCUGAUUGGCAGGACUAUUCCAAUUCAACUUCACAGGUCGCGGAGACCAUGGGGGUUUUGGUAAAGCCUGAUUGACAAGACUAUUCCAAUUCAACUUCACAGGUCGCGGAGACCAUGGAGAUAUUGGUAGAGCUUGAUUGGCACUCCAAUCACAAAAAGGGCCACAGCCCUCUGAUUUAGUUAAACUAUCAGGAUUAUUCUAAUAAUUUAACUUCACAGGUCUCGGAGACCAUGGAGAUUUUAGUAAAGCCACAGAAUGAGCUACAGCCUUUUAGUUAGACAAUUAUCUUUUCGUCUACAAGGAUUGUUCCAAUUAACUCUACAGGUCCCGGAGACCAUAGAGAUUUUGGGAAGGCAGGUUUGGCACAUCAAUUACAAAGUGUACAUUGUAAGCCUGGAUACUUGUGCCUCAUGUGUGAUAUUAUAGAAAUGUCUGUGUUAUUGCCAGUCCCAAAAGCCUCAAAGAUAGAGCAUACUGUGGUAGUCAUUAAAAGGACCAUGUCUUGCACUAAAUAAGAGUUGCAGACAGUUCUAGACAUCUAACACUGAGAGGACUGUACAGUUGUCGCCUCCAGGUAUUUCUCUAGAGUUUCGCGCACAGCAGACCAAGAGAGAAAGGCUUUCCCUCUACAUGCUAUACAAGACUUAAGAGUUGUGGAAAAGAAACAUAAACAGAAAUGUAAUAGUCUUUGUAAAAGAACAAGUUUCUCACUUCCUAACUACAGAUACCGCGGAUGCGGGCUGAGUAGGACAUCUGAACAGUACUUACCUGUCAGAGAAAUGGAGAGGGAAGCAGGGGACUUGGCAUUAGAACUUCUGACUUAUAUGUCGUGUACCAGAUAUGCAAUAAAAGUGCUUCUGAGUAAAUUGCAAGGGGCGCACAUCCUGUAGCCCAAGCUAUCAAUCAGACUUUGGUCGCCCACAUACAAAGGUUGCUGACUCUCUUAGCUCUUACAACUGAGUAACUGUACCUAGCUGAAAAGUUGAGAAUAACUCUUGGCACGCUUCCAGGACGCCUAAAUGGCCUUUGAUUUAGAUUGCCUCUCAAGAAAUGAACCUGUACCGGAGUGGCUUCUCCUACCUUGUACAACAGGAAAUAUAAUAUUUCGGAAGCUCCUGAUAUGGACCAUUUCGCUACCCAAAGGAAUGCUUUAGUGCCAAGGCAUAUUUGCCAAAGCCUGCUCCGAAUUUUGCGACAUCUGCAGUCGUUGAUGGAGCUGACGCCUAGACUGAAUAUUCCCUUUCAAGGGUAAUCCUCCAAGUGCACUAGCGCACCUCGCACCCCGGGACCGGGGCAGAUACAUAGCACCCAAGGGUGGCUUAUGGUUGAUAUAAUAAAUAAUAAUAAUAUACGGGCAUUUGUCCGCAACUCAAUGUCAAGCGCCUAAAGAUGGCUUAUGGUUAUUGACUAUUAUUGUUAUAUAUGGUUAUUGACCCGGAAGUCAUGAGCACUCAGACCAUUGGUGAAUGGCCUUACGGCCUUAUGGCCCCCCAACUGCUCAGUCAGAAAAGGGGGGGGGGGGAGGGGAGAAAACAGCCCAUUGUAAAGCAAAGGAGAAAGAGCAGUUAAGUAGUGGUGCCCCUCCACAGUGCCAACAUAUGACCCUCCAAGCAGGAGGUGACUUUCAUAAUGCAAUGCUAAAAAAAAAAAAAAAAAGAAUGCAUGUAAUCUAGUACACAGGGAUUCUAUUUUAUUUGCUUAAGUCUAUCAUAAGCAAGCUGACCCUGUUCAUGACAUGAACAUGACUUCUGAAAACCUCAAAAUACAGUUUUUUAUCACAGCAAGAUAAGAUUAUAACCUGACCUGAAUUUGGAUACUAAAUGGAUACAACAACACAUUAUCCAUCAGGUGGUCGGUUGUGAGGAAACUCAGACACAUAGAUAUGCCCAGUGACCCAUGUGGAAAGGUUGGUUCAAGUAACAAAGGACUGAUUUUCAAUCUUAAAAGUAGAUAAUUGAUUCUUAUCUAUAAAGGGGCGGACCCUUUAACCUUGCAACACAAACCUUUAUCUCUGGCUAGUUAAGGUCCCUCCAGAUCUUAAAGACAGUAAACGUAGCAGCCCUGUCCAGCAGUGGCUUCAAGAAUGUGGUAAGGGCACCAACCCGUGGAGGCAGUGGAAGGACCAUACAGUCAAUUAUAAAAGUUUUACUGUCAAUCAGUCAAUUUAGCCAGUGCCAGUGAGUCUGGUUUACUUUAAGGUAACCUGAAACUGUUUAAUUUAUUAUUUAAUUCAGUGUAAUUAAUUUAAGAUCAUAGUAAUGAUCAAUGUGUAACAAACAUGCUUAAUGCUUAAGGUACAGUUGUGUUAACAUUGCUUAUUAUAGUUAUUUUAUAUACAGAUGUUAUUUACUGUAGUAUUUAGCCUUAGAGGCUCCAUUGUUUAUCCUUGGUGACAUUGAUCUUCCUUUGAGUUAUAAUUUUUAAAAUUUUAUUUUUAUGUUAUUAUUUGAACUUUGAUUUGUAUCAAAGAUAUAGAGAAAUAUUUAAGCAGUUCUUAGGUUCUAAGACUUAGUUCAUUAGUAUUGGCUUAUUGAGAAGAUUAUCUGAGGAGAAUAAUUUAAAAUUUAGAGGAUACCUAUAUGGUUAGUUCUUACAAUAUGAAAGAAAAACAAUUUUUGUUGUUAUUACAUAACCCCCUUGUAUUGUUUUUAGAAUUUAAAAUAUAACUUUAAUUUACAAUACAACAGGUUCAUUUAACAUUCUGUAAGGAAUGAAAUUUAAGUUGUUAAUACAGCACUUAGGUAUUACAAUAUUAACAAGAUAAUUUAUUUUCAACAUAGCGUUUGUAUGUCUUUCUUCACCAGCAGAUAUCAAACACAUCUUCAUCCAACGCUGUGUGUUUUAGAAAGACACAUAAUAAUGAUGUUUUGCAUUAAAACAAAACAUGUAUUAUGUGUCGAAUAAAACACACAGCGUUGCAGUUUACUGCUUGCUGAUGAAGAUGCUAUGGAGCUUGGAAGAUGACAGCGCUUCAAAGGCGAUGAUGACAGAUGCCAUACUAGGGACGCGCUCUUGCUAGUGAGGUGAAAGAUCCAUCGAUAUUUGAAACGAAAAUGGCCAAGAACAAGACGACGACAUAAUCUUCGAAGACUUCGCGCGCCUCAGGCUGAAGGGCGCGGACGCUGAUGCUUGAACAUUAUGCUAACAGCGCUCUCUUACUGAACUACAUUCUAUAUUUUGUUAUACCAAACGCACAAUUGUAUCGUACUUUUUGAAUUUUCAUAAACAACAUUGUUCGUUUUGAAAUCCAUCGAAUGACCAUAGACACAAGAAAUAAGUGUUACCAUCCUUAGCGAAAAGUGUUAUAAUCUGUAUUAAAAUAAAAAUGGUGUAUAAAA